rnacentral:lncRNA from 1 species
UCCAUCUCAAAAAAAAAAAAAAAAAAAAAAAAGCCAAGAGGUAGAGAGAGAUUUCAUAGAGCCCAUUAUUUACCAUACACUAUCAAUAACCUUGAAAUUCCCUUGAAAGGCAUUUUUUUCUACUCCAUAUAGUUCAAUUUAGGUUCUUGGGUUUGCGUUUGAAAGGAUUCCAUCCCAGAGGCAGGAGAAGUUAACUUUUUCCCCACCUCUGGGGAUUUUAGACCUGGCGAGUUGAAGUUUACUGGAAGGCCCCUAAGGAGACCCUUCAAGAAGAAGUUGGCUGUGCAGAUGGCACUCAGGUGGGAGGGGGAAGAAAGAUGGUCUUCAAAACACAGAGACGUGUAGCAUAUGUGUUAGAUAUGGUUCUGGGGAGAACCAUAUUUAAGGGAGGAGCGGAGGAGAAACCUAUAAAGAAGACUCAGGAAGAACAGCCUGAAAUGGAAACCAGCAGAAUGUGGAAGGGGAAAGCAUUUCAAAGAGGAAGGAGCAGCCAGAGGUGUUAAAUGCUGCUCACAUGGAAAGAAACACGAGGACGAAAAAGUGCACAGCAAAGAUAAUAUUUCUGAAACGUGAAACCAAUGUAUGUCUGUUUCAUGCUCCAUAGAUCGUGUUCCCUGUAAUUUUCCCGCACCCGCGGAAUCAAUGGCACCAGUGGGUGCUCCUGAAGGUGCCUCUGAGGAAGACAGUAGGUGCCAUCCAGAACAAGGAAGUAGUUGCUUGAUUUUGAACUGUACGUUAGCAAGCUUUAUUAGGAGAGGAAAGAGUUUUCCUAAUUCCAAAAGCAGCUCCCCUUUGCAUAUGAAGAGCAGAGGGUUUGAGGCUCUAAGCCAUGGUGUAGACAGGAUGCAGGAAAUGACAGGGGGGCUGCUUCUGGGCUGUGGAAGAUGGGUGGAGGGGACAAAAUGAGAAGUGUCCUAUAUUCCUCCCCAAAACCUCCUGGUUUCUGGAUGCUUCCUCAAACUUUAAUCUCCCAGCUGCCUUUGUUCUCUAAGUCACUGGUUCUCAAACCUUGUGGGACCAAGGGCUGCAUGAGAAUCACCUAGGACCCUUGUUAAAAAUACAUAAUUUCAGCCACCUCAAGAUCUAUAUAGUCAGAAUUUCUAAGGGUAACUGAGAAUUCGCAUGUCACGAGUUCCCUGGAAAGAUUCUGCUGAGAGCCAGCGUGGAAAGCCCCGGCACAGUGAGUGUUCCUGUUGGUCCCCUCUCUGACCACCUCAGACCGACUACAUCUCCAGGCUCGAAGGACCUGGCCCCUGAACCCCCACCCUCCACUGCUUUAUUUUUCUCUGUGGAACUAUCACCAGCUAACAUUCCAUUUUGUUUACCUGUUUAUUGUAUGUCCCCUUCUGCUAGAUGGAUGCUUCAGGAGGACAAAGUCUUUUUGCUUUUUUCUUAUUUUCUUUAUGGUUAACUGCACACACUAGGUACAUAAUAGACAUUCAGGAACAAUUAAUGAAUGGAUGUAUGAAGAAUCAAAGAACCGAGAAGCUUUCUACCUAUUCUGCCUAAGGAUACAUGAUGAAACUAAGCUAAAAAAAUGAAAGGGAAAUAAUUCUAUCAAGAAAAAAUUAAAUAAGAGGAUACAGCAAACUGGCUUUUCCUUUAGAGAGUCACCAAUAUAUAUACACAUAUACGUAUACACAUACAAAAAGUCACAGACACAAAGAGGGAAAUGAGCCACAGUGUUAGGAGAUAGCUCAGAGACUCUGAGCCACAGAUACUCGGCUGUGGGUAUCUGAGUCAGUUUUCCUGGAAAUAGCUUUGAAAUACCAGCAUCUCUAGUCCUUUCUGAAUUUGUAAGUAGUCUUUGGACUUUUGUUAUCAAACAUCAGAGUUUAUUCUUGAAAUAAAAGUUUGUUUCCCCUUGGAAUUCUGAGGCUUUCUCCUUUAGAACCUUGGCAGCCUAAGUCCCUCUCUACCUGUGUCUUUAAGUAUGGUCAAUAUUCAAAAGCUUUGGAUGGCGUUGUCUUCGUUUAUGCGGAUAUUAGGUUGCCUCAGUCAACAAUGCUUGAAAAUGGCUUUAAAAUGAGCAUCAUAUCAUGAAGCCAUAUUUGUAUUUAAAUUAAAAUUGUUUUUUUUUUUUGGCCUAUGUCAUACCAGGGAUAAUAUAGAGCAACAGAGAACCAGGGAAAAUGUGAUUCAUGCAUCUCCAAGUCAGGAAAAAGAGACUAUUGGAAUCAUAGCCAGCGACAAACAAGUUAUUGGGAUUUAUAGAAAAGGAUGGCUGAGCAUUCCUGGAAAAACAACUGACUUUUUGUUGUUGUUGCUGUUGUUAGGGAAGAUUUUGUCUGCUUAACUGGCCAGAGUUUUCACUCCAUCCCCCGAAGAAUUGACGUUUUAAAAAGCACAACUGUAGAUUUAGAUUUUCACAGUCUUUUGCUAGAUUCUUUACCAAAGACUAUUAGUGAGUAGUAACCCUGGGAUUGUGUAAAACUUUAUUAAGGAUGAGGGAAUAAAUAGGUUUAAUUUCAGGAAAUAAAACUGGGGCUAAAUUAGUACUUCUCUGACGGAAAAUGUAUAAAUAAUGUGAUCCCCUGGGGACCCAGGUUAGCACUAGAUUUAUUUUUAAAUUUUAUAACUCAUCUGAAAGAGAGAGAACACAGUGGAAUCUAUAUAUUUGUAUAUUCCUCUAAGCUGUUCUGAUUUGAAAGAUAUUAAAUCAAUAGGAAUAACUUUCUGAGACUCUUGUAAGAUUGCAUAAGUCAGCACAAAAGUGGCAGGUAACCUUCAGUGUAAGCAAGAAUAAAAGAAUACAUUUAGGAGAAAGGCAUCUAAACUGUACUUAUAUGAUGAUGAAUUUCAAGCUAUGAAUUACUACCAGGGAAAAGGAUUUGAAAUAUGGAGGACCGAAAAGGCCCCAUAGUCAAAUAAUUUGGUGAAAUAUUACAAACUAUAUUCUUCAAGAUUCACCAUGUACCUGAGCAUAUGAAAGGCUUGAGAAAGGCCUGCAGUAAAGAAACCUGCUUAACUUUGUUUAUUCUGGGCUCAAAUAGGUUUUCAAAAGGAGAGAACGUGGGUUGUUAACUUCCUGGUUGGCUACUGAGAGAAAUGAGUCUCUUGAGCAAUUAUCCUUUGCAGGUAGCUUCCAUGAAGAACCCAGUUUUUGAGUGCCUCUAGCAGAGACUAAGCUUCAAACCUCAUUAACCAUGGAUCCAAUCCAAUAUGGCAGCUUGUAUGUUCUCCAUUCUCAAAGCCCAAUAUAAAUGAUGGGCUUUCUUCAUUCACCCAGAUAACUAAGAGCUGAUGGUACCCCAUUGAGCAGAUAUGGGAGACAAUGAAUCUUCAUAGAUGAGUGCCUAAGGAUAUAUGUGUCACUCAAGAGUAAAUGAACCAAUCAUGUUGCUAUGCAUAGGGACUCAGUUAAAGAAAAGUCAGAUAAAAUGGGAGGCUGGUAUCUCGCACAGCACUGAUCCGGCUCUCUGCCUAAUUUUUCACUUUUCAUCCAGAUGUUCCCCGUCAAGAAGGCACAGUCAAUAAUGUAUGAAUCUUAAAGGCAGAGGCAGAUGUGGUUAUUACUCCCUGUAGGCAUUUCCUGACUUGGAGACGACAUGUUACUCGAGAAUGACUACAAUUUUUAAAAAUUUAAGUUGAUAUAGCCCGCUUAUGAGUAAAUGCAUUUCAGUGCAAAAGUCUUUUCAGAAUUACAGUCAUCAUCACAGUUUAGUUUGGCCUUUAAAUUUUCACUGUAAACUCUCCAGAUGGUCACAUAUGGGGGCUUCUAAGGCAGAACACGCUUCCCAAUAACAUUAGAGCAAGCAGCCUUCUCUAGGAGGCAUCCAUUUCCAGCAGUCUAUUUUUAAUAUUUGCUUUUAUUUCUUAAUCCUCCUGAACAAUAAAAAUGAACGUCAUUAUAACCAAGUGUGGCUGUAGUCAUCAAUACUUCAGAGUCCAAAAAUACAUUGGCCUUGCCUGACCAGUUGCCCAUUUUCUGGAAUAGCUGGGUAUUUAUCUAGCAGCGAGAGACCAUUAUCCUGAGACACAGUCGUGUUCCACCGACACCUGAUCUACUAAUUAAAAUCACUAUCAUGAUGGACUGUUUAAAUUCUGGUUUAAAUGUUCCUUUUGCAUUUGCAUUUAAAAGAAAACACACUCCUCAUCAUGGGCACCCCAGCCUGGGUUAUAAUUUGGCUUUCCUUUGCCAGAAUUAUAAUGUCACUCUGACUUGCCGCUGGUUAAAUCUAAAAGAGCAUCUAAAUGUGCCUCACAGCUUGGCUGUUGCUUGGCAACGCCAGCAGCCACCUCCUCAUUGGGGUGACUUCUAAUUGGUCACAAGUCUUGACAGGAGCCACUGACUUAUUAGAAAUGACACUUGAUUAUUCACCUAGAUGGCUAGAGCUGAUACUUAGCAGCAGGAAAUUUUGCAUAAAAAGGAGUCGUGGAUGUUUUUAAUAUCUGGGUGGCUUUUAGCGAUGGUGUAGUGGAAGAAGGAAGUGAUAAGUUUCAUUAGUGGAAAUUAAUUUUUCAUUUGUUGGUCACCAGUUUAGAGCACUUUAAGGCAUUAAUUUUUUCAUUUUAAAAAAAAACCCAGAAAUACGUUUAAAUACCUUCCCCCACCCCCAGCAGCUGACCCUUACUUAUUCAGAAAACCCUCCUCUGACAUCAGCCCCAAAAUAUUGCCCCCAGGUCCACCAAGGGCCAAAUCAGAUGAAAUGUUCAAUUUAUAAAGGUCAACAAAUAUUUAUUAAUUAGUUCCUGUUGUUAAGGAGUUUAUAAUGUAGAAGAGAAACAAGGUACAUAAAUCACUGCAUUAUUACCAAUCGUGGAAGGUGGUGACAGAGCUGGGGUCCUGCUUUGAGCAUCAGAAGCCACUUUGGCAGGGAGGAAGCAGUGAGUAGCACCGGAAUUGAGCUCUGAAGAUUUUGCUGUUUUGACAGAGGGAGAAGGUGCAUUGCAGGUGGAAUGAGCUGCAGGAAUCAAGGCAUCUGGACAGAAAAGUACAGGGUCCCUAUGUAUUCUGAAGUUGAUGUGUCAAAGAAAUGACAAAAGGCUUUCUUGGGAAUGGGAUGUGUUGCUGAAAGCACAUGGACCAAUGAUCUGACACUUCCCUGCACUGAGCUAAGAAUUUGGCUGCUCUCUCCAUGGCUUCAAGCAACUGUCUCAACCUGAUGCUUUGUGACCUCCUUGGAAUCUUCAAAUGUCAGUGGAAAGGGACAUUAUAGCUCAUUGCGAUCAGCCCUUCAUUUAGGGAUGAGGACCCACGUUCAGAGAGAUUCAAAUGCCAGGUCCAAAGUAACACAUAGGACCAGCAUGAGUCUCAGCUUUCUUCUUCAGAGCCAGUUUUCAGCAAACCACACUGUAUUCAUGCUAAGAGACAGUGCCUCAAUCUGUUCAUGUUUCUUGGGUACCUUCUAUGUCAAGGCUCUCAAGGAACAUUUGAUCAAUCAGUCAUCACACAGGUAUUUCUAGAAAAUCAACAGAAUGGGGUGUGCUAUGCUCAUUCUUGAUAUAACAAAUACCAAAAACUUCAUUAAUCCAUGACAACAUGCAAUAGUUACCACAAAAGAGCAAUAUUGAGAGUGUAUUAGUUAUCUAUUGCUGUGUAACAAAAUUACCCCAAAACUUAGUGGCUUAAAACAAACUUUUGUUAGCUCAUUGUUUCUGUGGGUCAGGAAUCCUGGCAUGGCUUAGCUGAGUGCAAAGGCUGAGUCCAGAGGGACUGAGGGCUGAGGCCAGAGGGAUCAAGGUGUCUUGGAGUAGUAGUCAAAUGGCUGGCCUGAUCUGUGGUCUCAUCUGAAGGCUUGACUGGGGGAAGAUCUGCUUCUAAGCCUCAUCACACGGUUAUUAGCAGGAUUCAAUUCGUAAUGGACUUUGGAAGAUAAGAAUCUUGUACUGUGUCCUUCAGUCAGUGGGGAUCUACAAAUGUUUCAGCAAAGCAUUACUGAAAUAACAAGUAUUUUUGGAAGAUCUGGCCAGGCAUGGUGGCUCAUGCCUGUAAUCCCAGAACUUCAAGAGGCCAAGGUGGGAGGAUCGUUUGAACCCAGGAGUUCAAGACCAACUUGGGCAACAUAGGGAGACCCCGUUUCUACAAAACAUUAAAAAAAUUAGCCAGCUGUGGUUGUGUGUGUCUGUAGUCCCAGAUAUUAAUACUUGAGGGGCUGAAAUGGGAGGAUGGUUUGAGCCCAGGAGGGCAAGGAUGCAGUGAGCUGUAAUCAUGCCACUGCACUCCAGCCUGGGUGACAGAAUGAGAUCCUGUCUCAAAAGAAAAGAAAAGAGGCCAGGAAGCUCUUUCAAAGAACUUUCUUUAGUACACCUGGGUGUCAGGCACUAUCAAAGUCCUAAGACUACAAAGAUGCUUAGGCUAUAGUCUUUUUUCUCAAGAAGGAAGAUGACAACCAUAUUCCAGGUGACAAGUAGCAACACCUGAACUAGGAGGUGACUGAGGAGAUAAAUAUGAAAGAACAGAUGAAAGAAAGGAAGCAAUGUUAACAUGAUGAGGCAAGAACAGAUGGCUCCAAUGGGGAGUUGUCCCUGAGGAACAAGAAAAGAGAAGAGAAUGAUUCCAGUAGUCCAAACCAGCCUGGGAGGACGGAUCCCUCCAGAGGACAACUACCAUGUUUACACCACUCCCUGCUUUCUGUGCCAAGUGUUUUGCAUAUUUUGUUUCUAAUCUUUGUCACGACUCUUCAAGGGAGGUAUUAUUUUCAUUUUUGCAGAUGAGGAACUAGACUCAGUGAGGUUAGGCAAUGUACCCAAGAUCACACAGCUAUAAAGUGCCAGGGGAAGGAAACCUACUAAUUUGCAGUGCCUUUGAGUAUUUGCUAUGCUUGGGGCAAGUAUUCUCCAACAAGGUCGGAAUCUUACACUCAAGGAAGGAAACUCAGUGAUGAGAUUCUGUGAGUCACCCAAAAGGAGAGGAGAAGAAGACCUUUGAGCAGAAGCUCUCAGCCCUUCUUGGUCGUUACUCUCUUUGCCCACUCAUCAGGCCCUCCCUCCUUUUAGAAUUCACUCUGUUGCCCUCUGUCUGCACCUUGACUCAAAAUUUCACAGACACAGUUGGUAGAAAA